rnacentral:tRNA from 1 species
GGAUUGUGGCUCAGUGGUAGAAUACUCACCUACUACAUUUGAGGCCCUGGGUUUGAUUCCCAGCACCA